rfam:Zea mays cultivar B73 chromosome 9, whole genome shotgun sequence.
UCCGUUGUAGUCUAGGUGGUUAGGAUACUUGGCUCUCACCUGAGAGACCCGGGUUUAAGUCCCGGCAAUGGAA